CUUGCCAGUUGGCGAGUCGUCUUGUCCCCUCCGUAAUCCAGACUGACAAAGCAAAACACAAUACAAAAACACAGUUGGUAACUCGGUUAACACGUUUCAGGAUCACAGCCUUGACUGUUCUUCUUCACCUUCCUUUCUCUUCCUCAUUUCUCCUCUCUGCUUAUUCUGAAAGUUAGUAUAAGCAAGAUUGAAGCCCUGUAUGAGCUAUUUAAAAAGAUUAGCUGUGCAGUGAUUGAUGAUCGGUUGAUCAACAAGACUUUUGAGAAAGCUGAUGCUAAACAUGAAGGAAAGAUUAAGUGACAAGGAAGAGUGGCAAAGCCUUGUUUUGCAGCAUCCUCUGUUGAAGAAUAUGGCUCUUCAAUAUCUCAAGUAUGUAAUAUUAGCACUUCUUGUAAGACAAAACCUUAGCUAGUGAUGUAACUUUCUCCAUGUUGAUAUUUGGUUAAUUCCUUUGAGGUAAUAUGAUAAAUGACACAGAAUUUGAAAGCAAAAUUAUGCCUCUUGUUAUUUUCCUCCAGUAGCAGGAGCGUAUAACAUGUUUAGUUUAGGGCAACAAAGGUUUUGUUUUUCACUCACAAGAUGAUACCUGAGGUUGGGGCCCAGUUGGAGUUUGUUGUAGGUGCAAUGAGGUUUUGUGGGCUAGCGGCAAUGUGGAAAGGGACGGGUCAGAGUUUGAGAGAAUGGCGAAUUUUUGGGUUUCAAAGAACUCAUGUCAUGUGCUUUUCCCUCUUUGGAUAGAUGAAGUUUUGUAGCUUGAAAAAAAAAAAAAAAAAGGGUUGCCCUUGCUAAUAUUUGUUGUUAACUUGCCUGUUUAUUGAGGAAUUUUGCAUGAUUUCAUUGAUGAAAGAGAAGAGGGGGAAGUCAUGCAUGGAAACAACCACGAAUGGCGAAUGAUGGAAUGUUUGGUAUUGUUUCAUUGAUAUGCCAUCAUAAUUGUUUUGAUAGUCUGCCACUGCCACUGCCACCGCCACUAAAUAAACAAGUAAAUCAAAGAGUAACUAGCCUAGGACAGGAGGAGCAAUUACGUCAUUACUGUGGAGCCUAGCCCCAGAGGGCACGACAUCUUCAUCUCAACAGACAACAGAAGAGAACACAACACAAG